rnacentral:rRNA from 1 species
GUUUUUAAUGGCCGCGGUAUUUUGACCGUGCAAAGGUAGCAUAAUCAUUAGUCUAUUAAUUGUGGACUUGUAUGAAUGGUUGGACGAAAUAUUAACUGUCUCAUAUUUACUUAUUUUGAAUUUAAAUUUUAAGUUAAAAUGCUUAGAUAUAUUUAUUGGACGAGAAGACCCUAUAGAUCUUUAUUUUUAUUGUUUUAUUUAUUUUUGGAUUAUAUUUAUUUAUAAAUCAUAAAAUUUUUUGUUGGGGUGAUGUGGAGAUAUGUAAAACUCUUUAUUUAUAAAAUCAUUUAUUUUUGUAUAUUUGACCUUUUGUUAUUGUUAUAAGAUAUAGAUACCUUAGGGAUAACAGCGUAAUUCUUUUUGAGAGUUCUUAUCGACAAAAGAGAUUGCGACCUCGAUGUUGGAUUAAGAUUACAUUUUAAUAUAUUUGAUGUAGUAGUCUAUAUGGUAGGUCUGUUCGACCUUUAAAUUCUUACAUGAUCUGAGUU